rnacentral:rRNA from 1 species
GACGAACGCUGGCGGCGUGCCUAAUACAUGCAAGUCGAGCGGACUGAUUAAGAGCUUGCUCUUAUGACGUUAGCGGCGGACGGGUGAGUAACACGUGGGCAACCUGCCCUGUAGAUCGGGAUAACACCGAGAAAUCGGUGCUAAUACCGGGUAAUAUCUGAGAUCACAUGAUCUUAGGUUAAAAGAUGGCUCCGGCUAUCACUACAGGCUGGGCCCGCGGCGCAUUAGCUAGUUGGUAAGGUAAUGGCUUACCAAGGCGACGAUGCGUAGCCGACCUGAGAGGGGGAUCGGCCACACUGGGACUGAGACACGGCCCAGACUCCUACGGGAGGCAGCAGUAGGGAAUCUUCCGCAAUGGACGAAAGUCUGACGGAGCAACGCCGCGUGAGUGAUGAAGGGGUUCGGCUCGUAAAGCUCUGUUGUUAGGGAAGAAACAGUACCGAACGAACUAGGUCGGUAACUUGACGGUACCUAACCAGAAAGCCACGGCUAACUACGUG